rnacentral:rRNA from 1 species
GACGAACGCUGGCGGCGUACCUAAUACAUGCAAGUCGAGCGGACAGAAGGGAGCUUGCUCCCGGAAGUUAGCGGCGGACGGGUGAGUAACACGUGGGCAACCUACCCUGUAGAUCGGGAUAACAUCGAGAAAUCGGUGCUAAUACCGGAUAAUCAUUUGAAGUGCAUGCUUCGAAUGUAAAAGAUGGCUCCGGCUAUCACUACGGGAUGGGCCCGCGGCGCAUUAGCUAGUUGGUAAGGUAAUGGCUUACCAAGGCAACGAUGCGUAGCCGACCUGAGAGGGUGAUCGGCCACACUGGGACUGAGACACGGCCCAGACUCCUACGGGAGGCAGCAGUAGGGAAUCUUCCGCAAUGGACGAAAGUCUGACGGAGCAACGCCGCGUGAGUGAUGAAGGUUUUCGGAUCGUAAAGCUCUGUUGCUAGGGAAGAACAAGUGCCGUUUGAAUAAGGCGGCACCUUGACGGUACCUAACCAGAAAGCCACGGCUAACUACGUGCCAGCCGCCGCGGUAACAC